UGCGUAGGCGGAAUAUUAAGUCAGUGGUGAAAUCCUGCGGCUCAACCGUAGAACUGCCAUUGAUACUGAUAUUCUUGAAUGUAGUUGAGGUAGGCGGAAUGUGUAAUGUAGCGGUGAAAUGCUUAGAUAUUACACAGAACACCGAUUGCGAAGGCAGCUUACUAAACUAUGAUUGACGCUGAGGCACGAAAGCGCGGGGAGCGAACAGGAUUAGAUACCCUGGUAGUCC
rnacentral:rRNA from 1 species